AUGUGAUGAAUUCACAACAAUAUGAUUAGGUGAAUUAAUGCACCUCAACUGAUACUA
rnacentral:sRNA from 1 species